ensembl:lncRNA
AUGGCCAGCUUGGACAACACAACUGCACGGCACUGGGGCUUGAUUCCACCGCCCCCCCCCCAUCAAGGACCCCCAUCCGUCAUCUGCCUCUCACAAGAGGGAGGGCGUGGGUCAGCUCUCCGACAGCGGCGUUUAUUGACAUUCGCGUCUGAGCCUUCGCCCAGCGCCCCGAGUUUGAGUGGCCUGUCUGUGGCCAGCCUGGUGGCCCCAGCUCACCUGGACCCGGAUGGGCACGGUCCUACCUGUCAGCUCUCUCCAAACUGGCACCAGCAUCUCGAUUUUCCUACUGGACCCUCAGGGACCCUGCUGUGCUGUGGACAAGGAUGCAAGCUCAUCCGAUGGCAUCCUACAGCCUCACAGAGGGCCGUGGCACCUUUAAAGAGGAAUGUUUGAGAACAGAAAUCCAAAGUUCAGAGAGGACAGUUUGUGCGGCAUUCUUGAAAUGAUGAAACUACAGCGUUGGAGCACAGAUGAGGGUGGCCUGGGGACUGGAAGAAGGUCAGGAAGGGCCCAUCCCUAACAGGGGGUCACACAGAGCUCCUGCAUGGGGAUGGAUCAUCUUGACUGUGGGGGUGGGGGAAGGGGUGGGCCUGGGUAUCCAUCGUUGUUGUUCAGUCAUUAAGUCAUGUCUGACUGUUUGCGAACCCAUGGACUGCAGCAUGCCAGGCUUCCUUAUCCUUCACCAUCUCCCAGAGCUUGCUCAAACUCAUGCCCAUUGAGUCAGCGAUGCCAUCCAACCAUCUCGUUCUCUGUUGUUCCCUGCUCCUCCCACCCUCAAUCUUUCCCAGCAUCAGGGUCUUUUUCCAAUGAGUCGGCUCUUCGCAUCAGGUGGCCAAAGUACUGGAGCUUCAGCUUCAGCAACAGUCCUUCCAAUGAAUAUUCAGUGUUGAUUUCCUUUAGGAAUGACUGGUUUGAUCUGGCUGUCCAAGGGACUAUCAAGAGUCUUCUCUAGCACCACAAUUCAAAAGCAUCAAUUUUUUGGCACAGGAAAAAAACCAUAGCUUUGACUAUACAGACCUUUGUCAGCAAAGUGAUGUCUCUGCUUUUCAACACCCUGUCUAGGUUUAUCGUAGCUUGGGUGUCCAUACGUGAGAGCAAGUUGCACAGAACUCCAUUCACACAUUCAUGUACAAACCAAUGAAAACUCGGUAAGUAAGUGUUAGUCACUCAGUCGUGUCCAACUCUUUGCAACCCCAUGGGCUGUAGCCCACCAGGCUCCUCUGUGGGCAAGGGAUUCUCCAGGCAAGAAUACUGGUGUGGGUUGCCAUGCCCUCCUCCAGGGGAUCUUCCUGACCCAGGGAUCGAACCCGGGUCUUCUGCAUUGAAGGCAGAUUCUUUACCAUCUGAGCCACCAGGGAAGAUCUUCAGUAAGGUCCCAAGGUCUAGUUAACAGCUUGUACUAAGGUCGGUUUCCUGAUUGUAAGGUGUCAGCACUGGGGGAAGCUGGGUGAAGGGUCCACAGGACUCUCUGUAUUCUUUUCACAGCUUCUCAUUUCGAAAUGAAAAGUUUCAAGAAAAAGUUCAGAGAGGGUCAUGAAUGUGUCCAAUGCCACCCAGCAAAUCGAGAAUGAAGCUAGAGUUAAUACCCAGGUGUCCUGAUAGCCAGGUUCUUACUGAUCUUUCCUAGAAUGGCAGGGUGGGCAGGCACUUGGCAAAAUAAAAACAAGUGAGUCUCAGCGAUGGCA